UUUCCAAGGAAGAGCGUGGUCAGUGGAAUAGCAUUCCACUGAGACCCCAGGUGAGAAUUAGUUGACACAAAGUCACUGACUGGGUGAUGCUAAACAGAGCCAUUUUAAGGAAGGGUGGCAAAGUCAUCCACACAGAGAGAUCUGGGAACAGAGUGAGAACUGAGGAAGAAGAGAGUGUGGGAAUAUGAGCCUUUAAUAAGUGCAUUAGAGGGAGAUGCUACUGAACAGGAGGAGGGUUACUC
rnacentral:lncRNA from 1 species